rnacentral:rRNA from 1 species
UACGAAGGUGGCAAGCGUUGUUCGGAAUCACUGGGCGUAAAGGGCGCGUAGGUGGCCGAGCAAGGUCGCGGUGAAAGCCCGGGGCUCAACCCCGGGUCGGCCGUGGCAACUACUGGGCUGGAGCACUGUAGGGGCGGGUGGAAUUCCGGGUGUAGCGGUGGAAUGCGUAGAGAUCCGGAAGAACACCGGUGGCGAAGGCGGCCCGCUGGGCAGUUGCUGACACUGAGGCGCGACAGCGUGGGGAGCAAACAGG